CACGCCGUAAACGAUGGAUGCUAGCUGUUAUGGGUAUCGACCCUCGUAGUAGCGAAGCUAACGCGUUAAGCAUCCCGCCUGUGGAGUACGAGCGCAAGCUUAAAACAUAAAGGAAUUGACGGGGACCCGCACAAGCGGUGGAGUGUGUUCUUUAAUUCGAUGGUAAGCGAAGAACCUUACCCAGGUUUGACAUCCUUGGAAUUUUGCCGAAAGGCGAGAGUGCUUUAUUGAGCCAAGUGACAGGUGU
rnacentral:rRNA from 1 species